rnacentral:tRNA from 1 species
UGGAGAAGUACUCAAGUGGUGACGAGGACGGUUUGCUAAACCGUUAGGUCGGGUUAAUUCCGGCGCGAGAGUUCGAGUCUCUCCUUCUCCGU